UACGGAGGAUCCAAGCGUUAUCCGGAAUCAUUGGGUUUAAAGGGUCCGUGGGCGGCCUUAUAAGUCAGUGGUGAAAUCUCCUAGCUCAACUAGGAAACUGCCAUUGAUACUGUAAGGCUUGAAUUUUUGUGAAGUAACUAGAAUAUGUAGUGUAGCGGUGAAAUGCUUAGAUAUUACAUGGAAUACCAAUUGCGAAGGCAGGUUACUAACAAACGAUUGACGCUGAUGGACGAAAGCGUGGGGAGCGAACAGG
rnacentral:rRNA from 1 species